rnacentral:rRNA from 1 species
AACGAACGCCGGCGGCAUGCCUAACACAUGCAAGUCGAACGAGACCUUCGGGUCUAGUGGCGCACGGGUGCGUAACGCGUGGGAACCUGCCCUUAGGUUCGGAAUAACUCCCCGAAAGGGGUGCUAAUACCGGAUAAUGUCUUCGGACCAAAGAUUUAUCGCCUUUGGAUGGGCCCGCGUUGGAUUAGCUAGUUGGUAGGGUAAAAGCCUACCAAGGCGACGAUCCAUAGCUGGUCUGAGAGGAUGAUCAGCCACACUGGGACUGAGACACGGCCCAGACUCCUACGGGAGGCAGCAGUGGGGAAUAUUGGACAAUGGGCGAAAGCCUGAUCCAGCAAUGCCGCGUGAGUGAUGAAGGCCUUAGGGUUGUAAAGCUCUUUUACCCGGGAUGAUAAUGACAGUACCGGGAGAAUAAGCGCCGGCUAACUCCGUG